UACUGUUUAAGUUCCUUUUUUUAGAGACUGUGGGUACAUCCAUUUGGUUUCAGACAUUACCAGCCAAUCAGAGUUUCUCAGCUCAGACAAGAGGCAGGCACAUGCGGUUAAUGCAACUGUGUGACUGAAGAGAUAAACUAAACCACAUUUGUUACUGAAGGCAAGGAACGCUUUAAUCUGUGCAGAAAGGACUACUUACAGAUUUACAAUGAAUACUGCCGUGGGCGUUUUCUUUCUCUUGCUGACUUUGUACCAAGGAGAAGCACUGAGAUGUAACUUUUGUUUCUCAUGGUCAAGUGAACUCUGCAACAGCACCAGCAUUCAGACCUGCCCUGUGGGACAGGAUGCUUGUGGUGCUGUCAUCCUUACAGGCCCAGUCCAAAGCUCCUUUCGUCAAUGCAUGAACAUGGGCAUUUGUCGGGGAUUCAUCACCACACCUGGGACCAUCGCCAGAUGCUGUAGCACUGACCUCUGCAACUGAGCCUCGUCCUAAUGACCCAGAGCCAUUUUAUCGCUGACUGAUGAUUCUUUAGGAUCUCGGCCGGCUUUUCUUUGCUGAUACAUUAACAUCAUAAUCUCUUUUAUAAUUUUCCAAAACAUUCAAAUGAUUGCCGUUUUCCAACAGAUAUGAUUCCUGACUGGCAAAUUUUAGGCAGUGAGAAUCAGUAUUAUUAAAGUCUAAGUGUUGUACUGAAAAAAUAUCCUGAAAACCAUUGAAUAACUUCCAGAACAAGGUAAACUUUGAAUAUUCAUGUGUCAAAAGUGUUCAAAUUAAGUUUAA